rnacentral:rRNA from 1 species
UGGUUAGAUGCGGUCUAUCAUGCAGUCGAGCGGACAGAUGGGAGCUUGCUCCCUGAUGUUAGCGGCGGACGGGUGAGUAACACGUGGGUAACCUGCCUGUAAGACUGGGAUAACUCCGGGAAACCGGGGCUAAUACCGGAUGGUUGUUUGAACCGCAUGGUUCAAACAUAAAAGGUGGCUUCGGCUACCACUUACAGAUGGACCCGCGGCGCAUUAGCUAGUUGGUGAGGUAACGGCUCACCAAGGCAACGAUGCGUAGCCGACCUGAGAGGGUGAUCGGCCACACUGGGACUGAGACACGGCCCAGACUCCUACGGGAGGCAGCAGUAGGGAAUCUUCCGCAAUGGACGAAAGUCUGACGGAGCAACGCCGCGUGAGUGAUGAAGGUUUUCGGAUCGUAAAGCUCUGUUGUUAGGGAAGAACAAGUACCGUUCGAAUAGGGCGGUACCUUGACGGUACCUAACCAGAAAGCCACGGCUAACUACGUGCCAGCAGCCGCGGUAAUACGUAGGUGGCAAGCGUUGUCCGGAAUUAUUGGGCGUAAAGGGCUCGCAGGCGGUUUCUUAAGUCUGAUGUGAAAGCCCCCGGCUCAACCGGGGAGGGUCAUUGGAAACUGGGGAACUUGAGUGCAGAAGAGGAGAGUGGAAUUCCACGUGUAGCGGUGAAAUGCGUAGAGAUGUGGAGGAACACCAGUGGCGAAGGCGACUCUCUGGUCUGUAACUGACGCUGAGGAGCGAAAGCGUGGGGAGCGAACAGGAUUAGAUACCCUGGUAGUCCACGCCGUAAACGAUGAGUGCUAAGUGUUAGGGGGUUUCCGCCCCUUAGUGCUGCAGCUAACGCAUUAAGCACUCCGCCUGGGGAGUACGGUCGCAAGACUGAAACUCAAAGGAAUUGACGGGGCCCGCAUAAGCGUGGAGCAUGUGGUUUAAUUCGAAGCACGCGAAGACCCUACCAGGUCUGCUUACCAGGUCUUGACAUCCUCUGACAAUCCUAGAGAUAGGACGUCCCCUUCGGGGGCAGAGUGACAGGUGGUGCAUGGUUGUCGUCAGCUCGUGUCGUGAGAUGUUGGGUUAAGUCCCGCAACGAGCGCAACCCUUGAUCUUAGUUGCCAGCAUUCAGUUGGGCACUCUAAGGUGACUGCCGGUGACAAACCGGAGGAAGGUGGGGAUGACGUCAAAUCAUCAUGCCCCUUAUGACCUGGGCUACACACGUGCUACAAUGGACAGAACAAAGGGCAGCGAAACCGCGAGGUUAAGCCAAUCCCACAAAUCUGUUCUCAGUUCGGAUCGCAGUCUGCAACUCGACUGCGUGAAGCUGGAAUCGCUAGUAAUCGCGGAUCAGCAUGCCGCGGUGAAUACGUUCCCGGGCCUUGUACACACCGCCCGUCACACCACGAGAGUUUGUAACACCCGAAGUCGGUGAGGUAACCUUUUAGGCGCCAG